AGACCGUUUUCUUUGAAGUCCAGUUAAUAACUUUAAUAGCUUAAUUGUGUAUAAGUGGAAUGACUUAGGCAUGUCAGCCAUUCCACUCAGUUCACUGUACCACUAGCUGCCCUUCAUAACUACGGUUCUGUGACCUGAAAUGGUUUUUAUUCGUUUAUUUUGUUUUGGUUUGUUUUUUGUGAUGGGUGGGACACAGCUAUUUAUAACAUGAACAUUAACUUCAUUUUCCCUGGUGCAGAAGCCUAGGUCAAUAAAUCUGGAGUCGGCACUACCAUCCUAUAGAGAAAGUGUGUGUUAUAGCGCUGAGAGGCGCCCGUCACGUGCGGCAGGAGGGAGAUGCGCAGCCGAAGGUGACAGGCGCCGCGUGUGCCGGUGUGCACAGCACAGCACAGCACAGCCCAGCCCCCCACAGCCCGGUACAGCCCCGCACAGCCCCGCACAGAGGCUGGGGCGGGCUGGCGGAGGCCGCGGCCCCUCCGUCCAUCCAAGCGGAGCCGCGCUGGCCGGGAGGGUGCGGACACCGGGCUGCGGACACCGCGCUCACGGUCCCAGCGCGGCGGCAGCACCCCCGGGGCCCGGGUGGCAGAAAUGGAAAAUCCUGAAGUGGUCGUGAGCAGCUGCGGUUCUCAUGAUGCUGAAAAUGUUUGCAGCUACAAACGGCAACCAUCAAUAUCACAGGAGGGACUUUUGGAAGACCAGCUUAGAAGGAAGUUAAAAUUUUUCUUCAUGAACCCAUGUGAGAAAUUCUGGGCCCGGGGCAGAAAGCCUUGGAAACUUGGGAUUCAGUUACUCAAAAUAGUAAUGGUUACAGUUCAGCUGGUGGUUUUUGGAUUGAGCAAUCAAAUGGUGGUUGCCUUCAAAGAAGAGAACACUAUUGCGUUCAAACACCUCUUCUUGAAAGGAUACAUGGACAGAAUGGAUGAUACCUAUGCUGUAUACACACAAACAGAUGUCUAUGACCAGAUAUUCUUUGCAAUAAACCAGUACUUACAGCUGCCCAACAUCUCUGUUGGAAAUCAUGCUUAUGAGAAGAGGGGAGCAGAGGAGACAGCUCUGGCCAUUUGUCAGCAGUUCUACAAGCGAGGAAUCAUCUGUCCUGGAAAUGACACCUUUGAUAUAGACCCAGAGAUUGUGACUGACUGCUUGUACAUUGAGCCAAUGACACCGUUAGACAACACAACAGUGGGAAAGCACAAUUUGAAUUUCACUCUGGAUUUCCACAGACUGGUGACCGUGCAGCUCACGUUCAAUCUGAAGGCAAUCAACCUCCAGACCGUUCGGCACCACGAGCUCCCUGAUUGUUACGAUUUCACUUUGAGGAUAGUGUUUGAUAAUAAAGCACAUAGUGGAAGAAUUAAAAUAAGUCUCGACAACGACAUAGCGAUCAGGGAAUGUAAAGACUGGCAUGUUUCUGGAUCAAUACAGAAGAACACUCAUUACAUGAUGAUAUUCGAUGCUUUUGUCAUAUUGACUUGUCUGGCCUCAUUGAUCCUUUGCACACGAUCAGUGAUUAAAGGAAUUCGGCUUCAAAGGGAAUUUGUAAGCUUUUUCCUAUAUUAUUAUAAGAAAGAAGUGUCUUUCAGUGAUCAAAUGGAAUUUGUCAAUGGAUGGUACAUCCUUAUUAUGGUUAGUGACAUCUUAACUAUUGUUGGAUCAACUCUAAAGAUGGAGAUACAAGCCAAGAGUCUGACAAGUUAUGAUGUCUGUAGCAUACUCCUAGGAACAUCCACUAUGCUUGUAUGGCUUGGAGUCAUUCGCUACCUAGGUUUCUUUCAGAAGUAUAAUGUAAGGAUCUCCUGGGAUCUUCGUACUGUUGCUUCUCAUCCUAACCCUGCGAGCAGCACUACCCAAUGUAAUGAGGUUCUGCUGUUGUGCUGCUAUGAUCUAUCUGGGCUAUUGUUUCUGUGGAUGGAUUGUACUGGGACCAUACCAUGUGAAGUUUCGCUCUCUGAACACAGUUUCUGAAUGCCUUUUCUCAUUGAUCAAUGGAGAUGACAUGUUUGCCACCUUUGCAAAAAUGCAGCAGAAAAGUUUCUUAGUUUGGUUAUUCAGCAGGAUCUACCUCUACUCCUUCAUCAGUCUGUUCAUCUAUAUGGUGUUGAGUCUCUUCAUUGCACUCAUUACAGAUACGUAUGAAACAGUCAAGCACUACCAGCAAGAUGGCUUUCCAGAGACAGAACUUCGGAGAUUUAUAUCACAGUGCAAAGACUUACCAAACUCUGGCAGGUACAGGUUAGAGGAGGAGAGUUCUCCAUCUCUCUUCUGUUGUUGUAAUGGUUGUAGUGAACAUAUUUAAUGGAUUGUGGGAGUUUAUCACAGAGGCAUUAAAGUAGCACACAUUGGAAGAACUGGACAACAGAUCUGGUGGAAAACCUUAUAUCUAAAGCCUGAAUUUGCUUUUCUUGAGAAACAGUGUAAGCCUGUGCCAGAAGCUUAUGCUAAACUUACAGACUUUUUGAUUAGACACUCACUGCUAAUUCAGGGGGUUUGGGUGUUUGUUUUUAUUAGCUUUAUUCUAUUUGUUUUCUCAGUUAAAUUGUGCUAGAAUGCAAAGGGCAUCAAAAAGCUGUCUGUGUUCAGAGUCUUGGCUAGGUUAUAAGGGUAGACCAGAAAUGUAGUAACUUUCAACUAUUAACUAGAACUAGUGUUGGACAACUGCAGCUUUGAACACCAACCUAACCCUCAGUACUGCUGCCAUUAUCUGUCCAUGGUUGACCUGUUACUGAAUGAAUGAAAGCUCACUCUAUAGCCCUCAGAAUUUUUUGUUUAUUUGCACUCAUAGUAAAAAUAAAAACUAUGAAAUUUGGUGUAAUUUUUUUCUGGAGUCAUUACAGUGAGUUGAUACACAAACCAUUCAAAUAUAGCUGAAAGCAUAAAAUCAAUAUUUCCUUAAACAGAAGUACCACCUGAUGUGAGUGGCAGUCUCUUCUCAGAGAGGCCAGGGAUAUGCCAGGCUGAACUGGAAUUUGAGGGGUGAGUAGAGUGGAGAAAUGUAGAUGUUCUCCUGUAUCCAGCACUCGGUAGGAUCAGUGACAGCCUUUGACUUUACAGUGUGUGGACCUUUCAAAUUAUCUAUUUUUUUACUUUGAAAUCUUCCUCUGGUUUACAA